rnacentral:rRNA from 1 species
GACGAAGGGGGCUAGCGUUGUUCGGAAUUACUGGGCGUAAAGCGCGUGUAGGCGGUUAUCCAAGUCGGGUGUGAAGGCCUUGAGCUACAACUCAAGAAAUGCACUCGGUACUGGGUGACUAGAGGACCGGAGAGGAUAGUGGAAUUCCCAGUGUAGUGGUGAAAUACGGUAGAGAUUGGGAAGAACACCAGUGGCGAAGGCGGCUAUCGUGGACGGUUUCUGACACUAAGACU